rnacentral:rRNA from 1 species
CCUACGGGUGGCUGCAGUGAGGAAUAUUGGUCAAUGGGCGGAAGCCUGAACCAGCCAAGUCGCGUGAGGGAAGACGGUCCUAUGGAUUGUAAACCUCUUUAGCCGGGGAGCAAUGCCGGGCACGCGUGCCCGGAGGGAGAGUACCCGCAGACUAAGCAUCGGCUACCUCCGUGCCAGCAGCCGCGGUAAUACGGAGGAUGCGUGCGUUAUCCGGAUUUAUUGGGUUUAAAGGGUGAGUAGGCGGCUUUUUAAGUCAGCGGUAAAAUGUCCGGGCUCAACCCGGGCCGGCCGUUGAAACUGGGGAGCUUGAGUGGGCGAGAAGUAUGCGGAAUGCGUGGUGUAGCGGUGAAAUGCAUAGAUAUCACGAAGAACUCCGAUUGCGAAGGCAGCAUACCGGCGCGCGACUGACGAUGAGGCACGAAAGCGUGGGGAUCGAACAGGAUUAGAUACCCUGGUAGUC